UUACUCUGGUUUCUCUUCAGAUUGCAUAAAUAUUUCACUUUUUACUAAAGAUUUCUAUAGAGAGGAACAUUUAUGAGUGUUUUGUGAAUUUUUUGAGACUCCGCUUUGAGAGAGCC